rnacentral:rRNA from 1 species
GAUGAACGCUAGCGGCAGGCUUAAUACAUGCAAGUCGAGGGGCAGCAGGACUGUAGCAAUACAGUUGCUGGCGACCGGCAAACGGGUGCGGAACACGUACGCAACCUACCCAUAACUGGGGAAUAGCCCGGGGAAACCCGGAUUAAUACCUCGUAACCUGGUGAAGUGGCAUCACUUUAUCAGUAUAGCUCCGGCGGUUAUGGAUGGGCGUGCGCCUGAUUAGGUAGUUGGCGGGGUAACGGCCCACCAAGCCUGCGAUCAGUAACUGGUGUGAGAGCACGACCAGUCAAACGGGCACUGAGACCCGGGCCCGACUCCUACGGGAGGCAGCAGUAAGGAAUAUUGGUCAAUGGACGCAAGUCUGAACCAGCCAUGCCGCGUGAAGGAUGAAGGUCCUCUGGAUUGUAAACUUCUUUUAUAGGGGACGAAACCCGGGUAUUCUUACCCGAUUGACGGUACCCUAGGAAUAAGCACCGGCUAACUCCGUGCCAGCCGCCGCCGUAAAAC